AUGUUCACAGAUCGAACCUAUCCUAUUUUUACAAUACGAUGGCUGGCUACUCAUGGACUAGCUGUAGCUACUAUUUUUUUUCUUGGUAGCAAUAUUAGGAAUGCAGUUCAUCCAACAAUAAAUCAAAUUCCAGCUAUAGAAACUAUUGACACAAUCAAACCUGAAUGA
rnacentral:rRNA from 1 species